rnacentral:rRNA from 1 species
UACGUAGGGACCAAGCGUUGUUCGGAUUUACUGGGCGUAAAGGGCGCGUAGGCGGCGCGGUAAGUCACUUGUGAAAUCUCUGAGCUUAACUCAGAACGGCCAAGUGAUACUGCUGUGCUAGAGUGCAGAAGGGGCAAUCGGAAUUCUUGGUGUAGCGGUGAAAUGCGUAGAUAUCAAGAGGAACACCUGAGGUGAAGACGGGUUGCUGGGCUGACACUGACGCUGAGGCGCGAAAGCUAGGGGAGCAAACGGG